GCACAAGCGGUGGAUGAUGUGGUUUAAUUCGAUGCAACGCGAAAACUUACCCACCUUGACAUGUACGGAAUCCUUUAGAGAUAGAGGAGUGCUCGAAAGAGAACCGUAACACAGGUGCUGCAUGGCUGUCGUCAGCUCGUGUCGUGAGAUGUGGGUUAAGUCCCGCAACGAGCGCAACCCUUGUCAUUAGUUGCUACAUUCAGUUGGGCACUCUAAUGAGACUGCCGGUGACAAACCGGAGGAAGGUGGGGAUGACGUCAAGUCCUCAUGGCCCUUAUAGGUGGGGCUACACACGUCAUACAAUGGAUGGUACAAAGGGUCGCCAACCCGCGAGGGGGAGCCAAUCCCAUAAAGCCAUUCGUAGUCCGGAUCGCAGUCUGCAACUCGACUGCGUGAAGUCGGAAUCGCUAGUAAUCGUGGAUCAGAAUGUCACGGUGAAUACGUUCCCGGGUCUU
rnacentral:rRNA from 1 species